UACGUAGGGGGCUAGCGUUGUCCGGAUUUAUUGGGCGUAAAGAGCGUGUAGGCGGCCAGGUAGGUCUGCUGUGAAAACUCGAGGCUCAACCUCGAGACGUCGGCGGAAACCAUCUGGCUAGAGUCCGGAAGAGGAGAGUGGAAUUCCUGGUGUAGCGGUGAAAUGCGCAGAUAUCAGGAAGAACACCUAUGGCGAAAGCAGCUCUCUGGGACGGUACUGACGCUGAGACGCGAAAGCGUGGGGAGCGAACAGG
rnacentral:rRNA from 1 species